rnacentral:rRNA from 1 species
AGUCACUGCUAUCCGGAUCUGACUAAGCCAUGCAAGUUAUGGGUUAAACCAUAGCGAAAAGCUCAGUAACACGUAGUUAACCUGCCCUUAGAUCUGGUAUAAGCUCGGGAAACUGAGGAUAACGCCAGAUAGGCAAUAGAACCUGGAAUGGUCUAUUGCUGAGCUAAGGAUGGGACUGCGGCAGAUUAGUUUGUUGCCAGGGUAAAAUCCUGACAAGGCGAUAAUCUGUACGGGCCUUGAGAGAGGAAACCCGGAGAUGGAUUCUGAGACAAGAAUCCAGGUCCUACGGGACGCAGCAGGCGCGAAACUUUCCCAAUGCACGCAAGUGUGAGGAAGAGAUCUGGAGUGCUCCCUCUUCGGAGGGGGCUUUUGUUAAAUCUAAACAGUUUGACGAAUAAGGGGUGGGUAAGACGGGUGCCAGUGAGCUUUUCUUUCUUUAGAAAAAAGAAAAUUUUAAUCAAAAGAAAGAAUCUUUGAAAGAGGCUCAGCACACGCCGCCGCGGUAAUACCCGCGCCCCGAGUGGUGGCCACGAUUAUUGGGCUUAAAGCAUUCGUAGCCGGUUUUGCAAGUCCUUGGUGAAAUCGAUCGGUAAACUGAUCGGCUUGCUGGGGAUACUGCGGAACUUGGGACCGGGAGAGGUCAAGGGUACUCUAAGGGUAAGGGUAAAAUCUUAUAAUCCUUAGAGGACCACCUGUGGCGAAAGGCGUUUGACUAGAACGGAUCCGACGGUGAGGGAUGAAAGCUAGGGGAGCGACCCGGAUUAGAUAGACCCUUUUGCGGUAGCAAAAGCUUACACAAAAGCGUCUACGGAAAAAUGCGAAGGGGCCCUAAAUACCCGGGUUAGUCCUAGUCGUAAACAAUGCCACUAGACAUUGGUAAUCUUACGUGGGUUUCAGUGUCGUAGGAAACCGUUAGUGGGCGCCUGGGGAGUACGU